AAUAUAUACUGUGUAUUGAUGACACAACUUAAGGUUGGCCAAAUAAUACAAAAUAACCAAAAGGAAGCCAAAGAUUGGAAAAUGCAAAAGAUAAAAUAAUAAAAUUGUUGCUCACUGCAAAAUAGCUUUUGGCUUAAGUGCAUAAUUAAAUAAAUGUAAUUUUUAUUUAAUUAGAACAAUUACAAACAUCAUAUUGCACAAAUAUUAACCAUUUGACUAAUAUUUUGUUGUUUUUCGAACAUUUCGACAAAGCAUGUCUGAACUGUUACUGUACAUAAAAAAGGUCUGGCACGUCUUUUUUGAGAACAGUAAAAACAGCUAUUCGAUUCAGACUGAAGAUUCAUGUUACCCAUGUUUCUCAGCAUAGUAGACACAGACAAACUAGACUUACCCAAAUCUCCACCUCUCCUCCUCCAGCCUCUCCUCAGCCCUGAACAACUGUAGACACCCUGGACCGAUUGGAUCUGCCUCAGUGGAACAGUACAGUAGAUGCGGUGGCACUGCUGGCUUCACAUGGUGUCUGGAAAAGAAAAGGAAAAAUCUUUCGACAGUACAGACUGGUACGAGGCAUCAGAAGAGAGUGAGGCAGAGCUGCAGGAGAGGGAACAUGCUGACACACUGACAGGAGAAGUUCAGGCCCGGGCAGAGCCUCCUGCACCGAUGAACCGGUUGUCAAGAGGAACAGAUUUCGCCGUCGCUCCUGUCGCCGACAGAGACGCAUCAUCACCACCUUCGUCCCUUUGAGCCGGCGAUCCGCCUCGACAUUCCCUCUGAUCUGAUUCUCCCUGAAACGACCUAUUGAUAAGUGAUUAAAGCGCAGCAGAAGUUCCUGCCACAUCUCUGUCAGGUGUCGCCCACACCCGGAUGGCACAGCGUCUUCCGGCCAUUAAAUAUGAAUGACUCCAGUACAGGAGAUAAAGGCGAACGCUUUGGUUGUGAUGUUUGCCGCUUUUGGGUUUGGCUAAUUGCUAUGAAGUAAACAUAGUCUGUUCAUUAGGACUGGUUUUUGAAAAGUUUUUGAAAGCACGGCACGUACAUCAGUCCUACAGUCAGUAGCCAUUAGUCGGUGGAGUUUGUUAAUCGUAUCAUCGCUGUCAUUUGAGGACAUGAGCUGUGUGUUCAGGUUCGUGUUUAACGCACCCAAUGGUGAAACACAGACCAUAGACUCAAGGAAAAUAGUAGGAGGGUCUAUAGACCGUGACAGCUGGAAAUAAGCAAACAUUUUCUGCUCAUCCUUAUGUCAGUUGGGAUUCACUUUAGGGGAAAAACCAAAUUACAAGUUGAUGUGACUGUCUGAUACAGUACAGACAUUGUUGGCAUUUCUGUCCGGCAACAGUACUAGUCGUCCCUGCACUGAUCUGGAGAUGGUUUCCAAGACUCAGGUCCAAAAAGUCCUGCGUUUGUCCCCUGUCUACUUGAGUACUACUAGUAGCCAAGUUGUAUUUUAAGGAAGUACAACCAGGAGUUUAAUGACAGCAAAUUUUACAACACACACAUACUGUAGUUAAUUUUAAUCUUUUAAUCACAUAGGACUUCUCUUAGACAUCAUCAUCAUCAUCAUCAGGGCCAUCAUCGUUGUUUUAGUUUGACUUUUUUCCACUUAUUUUUUUACAAAUAGACACUGGCCAAAGGCAGAUCAUGGAGAAAUGAACGUGUCUACAUGGAGCUGGUGUUUACACUGAAGUUGAACGACAAUAAAGACAGACAUUUUAAGCCUGAAGUAAAUGUAAACAGAAACCUCUAUGGUUUAUUUUAAACAUGAGUCACAGUCCUCGGUUCACAGCACCCCCACCCUCUCCCCCCCUCAACGCCAGGUGCUACAGCCUGGUCGGUGCUGCCUGCUUGAGCCUGAGUUUCUUUUCAUUUUCUUCGAUAUAAGCCUCCGUCCCCAGAGAGUGAAAUUCAAACAGCAGGAGGUCCAGAGGGGCUGGACGAGGUACAGGCCGACUCAGGUCAGCCGCCACAUAAGACAACACAAAUAUGAAUUGUAUAUUAAAGUCGGUCACUCCGGAACACAUUUCAUAAGCCGACUAACCUUUCACCUGAGAAAAAAACGUUAUUUACCCAGGCGUUCGCUGCCCUCCCCGGUUACUCAAUCCAGCGGCAGUUAACCAAACAAUGAUUUUGUCUGAGAACAUUCUGAUAUUGGCUCUGCGGCAGCGUUGUCCAAUUUUUAAAGGCCUCCAGACAGAUCUGUAACACAGGUCAGGACCUUUCCAUCUCCCUUACCUCCUCUGCCCUCCUCCCCCGCCUCACUACUUGUUAAGGCUUAAUUGGCUGCCAUCUGACCUGGUCUCUGCCUCUUUAUACAGAACUGCUCAAAAUGCCACUCAUUUGCAGAAGCGGUCGAUGAAGAAGUCGUUUGAAUCAAUAGAUCUAAAUGAGUCAAUAGUAGCCCCGGGGAUUUUAUUGCCUGUGCUGUUUUAACCGCGGUGUCCUCCCACAGCCAGUGUUUAAUGCCAACACUACCAUUGACUAUUAUAGCUUUUCCACUUAUUCCUCUAUUCCUGUCAUUUCUUCUAGGUGCAAAUCUUGGACAUGGGGUGGCAGUAACUUAGCAACCAGCCUCAGAAUAAGAUCAGGGCAACGACAUAAAGUUUCCAUAAAUGGACGAGUGUGACAAUACGAAGCUUUGUCUCAUCCACUGAUAGACACACUCGGCAGCAACACUUACUUUUUUUACGUUUCACAUCUGCAGAGACAUCACCAGUUUUGUCCAAUUUUCUUUCUCAUUUUCUUUUAAACCCCCCCGGAGCUGGCAAAUUUCCACCCCUGCUCCAUCACUCAGUGAAAUAGUCAGUGGCAGGCGCUCAUCACAUUCAGACAGUGACGAGGAGGGAGAGUCGAUUGGAUGGACUGUUUCGGGAGAAUGCAUCUAUAAUAGAACUGGCUGAGAAAGGCCCAGUUAUUUAGGAAUGUGGCUGACGGCUGGUAACGUGUGAUGAGGGAUAUUGUUUCUUUACCCACUAGGAUUUUUUUUUUAACUUCACAGCCUACUAAUGCACAUGACACCAUGUUAUUGUUGCUGUAAAUCAUUGCUGAGUCAACAAAUGUGUCUCACUGGCUGCUGGUUUUGGAGUUGCAGUGCGUGAACCUGACUGAAGCCUCGCAGUAUAUGCAGCGUUCACAGUGUUCAUACAUAGCAGCCACGCCUCUUAAGUAAAGAGAAGAGGCAGUUUAACAUCUGUACGUAACAACGAAAAGACGUAGCUGUGUCCGAGAGCACCCCCUACACUCUACAUAGUGCAUUACAUACAGGCAAGCCAUGUUAUAUAGACCACCAGAUGUGAGUAGAUGUUGUCCACUAUAAGGAGCACUCAAUGUGUCCCACAAUGCACCGCAAAAUCUAGUGUACAACCAAUGUGCACUACCCAAGCAAUAUAUCCCACCAUGCAUUGCAGUUGUGACGACAUGGCGGAGAGAGGAACAGCAUUUGUCCAUCCGUUGGUUUAAAUUGUGCGACAGUAGUGACAUUUAACGACCCUAUACCACAUAGAAAGUGCUGAAGCCAGAAACAACUCUAAGAUGAUCAGUGUUAGACAAAAGAAAAAAAAGUUUUUAGCGACUUCUUCAAGCGUAGUUAUCUACGUUUGCUUUUGUCUGGAAGCCUACAGGUGGAGUAUUCUGGAACUUUGUGCGAGUAUACUGUAUGUUGUCUGGUACACAGCUGGUGCAUGAUUGCUGUUUAAAUUUGAUUAUAAUCAUAUUACUCAAAAAGACAUUAGACCAGAUGAGCACCUUAUCUUUAGCCUUUGAAAAUACUUAAAGCAUUGCCUACUUUUUUAUUAGAUUCAGUAGCACCCUAAAAUUUACUCAACAAAAAUAUAAAUACUGUAAACUUUUGUUUGAACAAAUAAUAUCUA